AUAGAACAGCAGAAGCAAAGUAGGAAUUAGUGGGGGUAGGAGAGAGAAUGGAGGAGCUGGUCUGGUUGCCUAGCAACAUGCAGUGUCCUUGGAGACGAGUCACUAUGGAAACAGAGUGAGAACAGGUAGCGGGGGAAGGGCGAUUCUGCCCCAGCCAAAUGCAGCUGCAGAGAACAGGAAAGUGAUGUGGAUGUCCCACAGUUCGUUUGUUUUUCUUUUAAAUAAUCUCCUGAUUUUAUAUUCAGAUGGCUUCCGUUUAUACUUUCACGUAUUAUUUGUAUAUCUCUCAGGUUAGCUUUUCCUAAAAUGUAGUUCAAGGACUCCUGGGGGAAUCAAGAUUCUUUAAGGUGGUUCACAAUUCCAAAGUAUUUUGGACAUUAACACCAACAUUAACACUUUGGCUGGGCGCAGUGGCUCAUGUCUGUAAUCCCAUCACUUUGGGAGGCUGAGGCAGGCAGAUCACCUGAUGUCAGGAGUUCGCGACCAGCCUGACCAACUCGGUGAAACCCCAUCUCUACUAAAAAUACAAAAAUUAGCCGGGUGUGGUGGUGGGCAUCUGUAAUCCCAGCUACUCAGGAGGCUGAGGCAGGAGAAUCCCUUGAACCCAGGAGGUGGAGGUUGAGGUGAGCUGAGAUCACGCCACUGCACUCCAUCCUGAGCAACAGAACAGGACUCCAUCUCAAAAAAAAAAAAAAAAUAUUUGCCUUUUCUUUUUCUUUGUCUCUGUAUGAUGUAAUGUAAGUGUUUGAAUUAAGUAGUCAAUUAGAGAAUCUAGCCAUCUUGUAGUAACGGGGACAUGAACAAGGUAUGCAAAAACGUAAAACGAUGCCAUGUCUAUUGGAGGGAGAAAGAAUGGGGGAGCUGGCCUUGUUUCCAGGCUGUGCUCAGCGUCCCUGGAGAGGAUCCACCGUGAGUUGGAGUGGAAGAAGGCCGUGGAGGAGGGGCUGUUCCUCCCUAACCCGCUACAGCUGUAGGAGUGAGAGAUGGAGCAGGCAGAGUCAGAGCCCAGCAGGGAUGGGGCUUUCCGAAAGAAUCGCAUGAAAGAACAUGAAACAGAGACCUGAGUCCGUGUAGAAGGAAUUAAUUUGAAUGACUGACCACAGAAGGUAACCUGGGGUUGGGAGUGAAGGUCAGUGGAAAAUAGUUUAAUCAAUGGAGUGCUGAUCUUCAAGGGCUGAACGGAUGGUAGCAGCAAAUAGUGUAAUCAAUGGAGUGCUGAUCUUCAAGGGCCGAGUGGAUGGUGGCAGCAAAUAGUUCAAUCAAUGGAGCACUGAUCUUCAAGGGCCGAAUGGAUGGUAGCAGCAAAUAGUGUAAUCAAUGCAGUGCUGAUCUUCAAGGGCCGAAUGGAUGGUAGCAGCAAAUAGUUUAAUCAAUGGAGCACUGAUCUUCAAGGACUGAAUGGAUAGUAGCAUCAGGUGUGCAGAGGAAUAGCAUCAGGUGUGCAGAGGAAGCUACCUGCAAGGUCAUGAACUCUGAGAGUUUGAGCUGUGCCUCUAAAAGCUGUAUCAAAAGCACCUUGCACUGUUGAAGCAGAUAGUGUCUUGCAAUGUUGCCCAGGCUGGAGUGCAGUGGUUCCCCUCCUGUUGUGAAUGUCUGACUUAAAUCCUGUUAUAUCCUAAUAUGGGUUCAUCAUGCAGAUUCUUCAAGAAGAAGAGGGUUGCGGAGGAGAGAUACUAGGACAGUACCUGGCCCACCACAGAAGCCUGAUAAAUAUCUACGGGAUGACUGAAUGAAUGAAGAAGCCAGAGCAGGGAAAGAAAAGAAGACAAUGAAAGAAACAGAGAGGAGUCUUCCUGGUAUAUUUGCUCAUGUGUACUUAAAGACAUGGAUGGGCUCGUCUGGGAAGUGAGGAGCGCCUCUGCCCGCCGCCCACUGUCUGGGAUGUGAGGAGCGCCUCUGCGUGGCCGCCCCGUCUGCGAAGUGAGGAGCGCCUCUGCCCGGCCGCCCCGUCUGGGAAGUGAGGAGCACCUCUGCCCGGCCGCCCCGUCUGGGAAUUGAGGAGCGCCUCUGCCCAGCCGCCCCUUCUGGGACAUGAGCGCCUCUGCGCGGCCGCCCUAUCUGGGAAGUGAGGAGCGCCUCUGCCCGGCCGCCCCGUCUGGGAAUUGAGGAGCGCCUCUGCCCGGCCGCCCCGUCUGGGAAGUGAGGAGCGCCUCUGCCCGGCCGCCACUUCUGGGAAGUGAGGAGCGCCUCUGCCCGGCCGCCCAUCGUCUGGGACAUGAGGUGCACCUCUGCCCGGCCGCCCCGUCUGGGAAGUGAGGAGCACCUCUGCCCGGCCGCCCCGUCUGGGAAGUGAGGAGCGCCUCUGCCCGGCCGCCCCGUCUGGGAAGUGAGGAGCGCCUCUGCCCGGCCGCCCCGUCUGGGAAGUGAGGAGCGCCUCUGCCCGGCCGCCACUUCUGGGAAGUGAGGAGCGCCUCUGCCCGGCCGCCCAUCGUCUGGGACAUGAGGUGCACCUCUGCCCGGCCGCCCCGUCUGGGAAGUGAGGAGCACCUCUGCCCGGCCGCCCCGUCUGGGACGUGAGGAGCGCCUCUGCCCGGCCGCCCCGUCUGGGACGUGAGGAGCGCCUCUGCCCGGCCGCCCCGUCUGGGAGGUGUACCACAGAGACCAGAAGCAAUGUGGGGGCUGGACGUGGUGGCUUGCGCCUGUAGUCCCGGUACUCUGGGAGGCCAAGGCGGGUUGAUCACUUGAGGCUAGGAGUUCGGGACCAGCCUGGCCAACAUGGCGAAACAUAUGAAAAAUACAACAGACAAACCAACCAACCAACCAAGCGACAACAAAACAGGUCUACCCUGGAGUCAUACUCUAAUUUUUUCUGUUUUCCUCCCUUUCUGAUCCUUUACCCCACUUUCUUUUUCUUCCUCUUCCUUCUCCUUCUUCUUUAUCAAAUAGAGGAUUGAGUUAUUAUCAUUGAUCCAUAUAAAGUCCCUCUCUCAUUUAUUUUCUUUAAUUCCCACACCCUAUUUCUAUUCCCCAUCUUCCCAUGUGCAACCUUCCUAAUAUGUUUGAUAUACAUCUUUUUGUUUGUACUUUUAAAAAAUAAAAAUAAAAAAAUUAAAAAAAAAAAA